rnacentral:rRNA from 1 species
AAUGAACGCUGGCGGCGCGCCUAAUACGUGCAAGUCGAGCGAGAAGACGUAGCAAUACGUUUGUAAAGCGGCGAACGGGUGAGGAAUACAUGGGUAACCUACCCUCGAGUGGGGAAUAACUAGCCGAAAGGUUAGCUAAUACCGCGUACGCUUCUUGGACUUCGGUUCAGGGAGGAAAGCGAUGCCGAGGGUAUCGCGCUCUUGGAUGGGCUCAUGUCCUAUCAGCUUGUUGGUGAGGUAACGGCUCACCAAGGCUUCGACGGGUAGCUGGUCUGAGAGGACGAUCAGCCACACUGGCACUGCGACACGGGCCAGACUCCUACGGGAGGCAGCAGUAAGGAAUAUUGCGCAAUGGGCGAAAGCCUGACGCAGCGACGCCGCGUGGGGGAGUGAAGGU